rnacentral:misc_RNA from 1 species
GAUGAAGAACGUAGCGAAAUGCGAUAAGUAGUGUGAAUUGCAGAAUUCAGUGAAUCAUCGAAUCUUUGAACGCACAUUGCGCCCCUUGGUAUCCCGAGGGGCAUGCCUGUUCUAGCGUCAUUUCACCACUCAAGCCUGGCUUGGUGUUGGGCGACGUCCUCUUUGGGGACGCGCCUCGAAACGCUCGGCGGCGUGGCACCGGCUUUAAGCGUAGCAGAAUCUUUCGCUUUGGAAGUCGGGGCCCCGUCUGCCGGAAGACCUGCUCGCAAGGUUGACCUCGGAUCAGGCAGGGAUACCCGCUGAACUUAAGCAUAUCAAUAAGCGGAGGA